rnacentral:rRNA from 1 species
UACGUAGGUGGCAAGCGUUGUCCGGAUUACUGGGCGUAAAGAGCGCGCAGGCGGUCGUCCAAGUCGCGUGUGAAAGCCCCCGGCUCAACUGGGAGGGUCACGCGAUACUGGUCGACUCGAAGGCAGGAGAGGGUAGUGGAAUUCCCGGUGUAGUGGUGAAAUGCGUAGAUAUCGGGAGGAACACCAGUGGCGAAGGCGACUACCUGGCCUGUUCUUGACGCUGAGGCGCGAAAGCUAGGGGAGCAGACGGG